GAUGAACGCUGGCGGCGUGCCUAAUACAUGCCAGUCGAGCGAACAGACGAGGAGCUUGCUCCUCUGACGUUAGCGGCGGACGGGUGAGUAACACGUGGAUAACCUACCUAUAAGACUGGGAUAACUUCGGGAAACCGGAGCUAAUACCGGAUAAUAUAUUGAACCGCAUGGUUCAAUAGUGAAAGACGGUUUUGCUGUCACUUAUGGAUGGAUCCGCGCCGCAUUAGCUAGUUGGUAAGGUAACGGCUUACCAAGGCAACGAUGCGUAGCCGACCUGAGAGGGUGAUCGGCCACACUGGAACUGAGACACGGUCCAGACUCCUACGGGAGGCAGCAGUAGGGAAUCUUCCGCAAUGGGCGAAAGCCUGACGGAGCAACGCCGCGUGAGUGAUGAAGGUCUUCGGAUCGUAAAACUCUGUUAUUAGGGAAGAACAAAUGUGUAAGUAACUAUGCACGUCUUGACGGUACCUAAUCAGAAAGCCACGGCUAACUACGUG
rnacentral:rRNA from 1 species